rnacentral:rRNA from 3 species
CAAAAGAAGUAGGUAGUUUAACCUUCGGGGGGACGCUUACCACUUUGUGGUUCAUGACUGGGGUGAAGUCGUAACAAGGUAGCGCUAGGGGAACCUGGCGCUGGAUCACCUCCUUAAACGAUGAU